AUGGAGCCGACCUUGAAAUACCACCCUUUAAUGUUUGAUGUUCUAACGUUGACCCGUAAUCCGGGUUGCGGACAGUGUCUGGUGGGUAGUUUGACUGGGGCGGUCUCCUCCUAAAGAGUAACGGAGGAGCACGAAGGUUGGCUAAUCCUGGUCGGACAUCAGGAGGUUAGUGCAAUGGCAUAAGCCAGCUUGACUGCGAGCGUGACGGCGCGAGCAGGUGCGAAAGCAGGUCAUAGUGAUCCGGUGGUUCUGAAUGGAAGGGCCAUCGCUCAACGGAUAAAAGGUACUCCGGGGAUAACAGGCUGAUACCGCCCAAGAGUUCAUAUCGACGGCGGUGUUUGGCACCUCGAUGUCGGCUCAUCACAUCCUGGGGCUGAAGUAGGUCCCAAGGGUAUGGCUGUUCGCCAUUUAAAGUGGUACGCGAGCUGGGUUUAGAACGUCGUGAGACAGUUCGGUCCCUAUCUGCC
rnacentral:rRNA from 1 species